AUUGAAAAGCCGGUUUCCGUACGAUCACCGAAGUUAAGCGGCGUCAUACCUGGUCAAUACCUAGAUGGGUGACCGCUUGUGAAUACCAGCGGCUGUAA